AUUGAACGCUGGCGGCAUGCCUUACACAUGCAAGUCGAACGGUAACAGGUCUUCGGACGCUGACGAGUGGCGAACGGGUGAGUAAUACAUCGGAACGUGCCCAGUCGUGGGGGAUAACUACUCGAAAGAGUAGCUAAUACCGCAUACGAUCUGAGGAUGAAAGCGGGGGACCUUCGGGCCUCGCGCGAUUGGAGCGGCCGAUGGCAGAUUAGGUAGUUGGGGGGAUAAAAGCUUACCAAGCCGACGAUCUGUAGCUGGUCUGAGAGGACGACCAGCCACACUGGGACUGAGACACGGCCCAGACUCCUACGGGAGGCAGCAGUGGGGAAUUUUGGACAAUGGGCGAAAGCCUGAUCCAGCAAUGCCGCGUGCAGGAUGAAGGCCUUCGGGUUGUAAACUGCUUUUGUACGGAACGAAAAAGCUCCUUCUAAUACAGGGGGCCCAUGACGGUACCGUAAGAAUAAGCACCGGCUAACUACGUGCCAGCCGCCGCUGUAA
rnacentral:rRNA from 1 species